rnacentral:sRNA from 1 species
GGUCAACGCAAGGAGGCACACAAAUGGGACUUACGUACUCUUUCAAUGUCCUUCUGGUCGGUGCAGCGAUUGCAUUCAUCGGGGCCAUGCUUUUCAUCUGAAAGGCCCGCAUUGUCGGGUCAUGGCUGUCGUUAAUGACUUUGGACCCAUUCGUACCACUCUAAGCACGACAAACGCAUGGCGGACCCCGCCAUGCGUUUC